AGUACCCCGAUCUGGCAUAGCUCCAGGAGUCUGUGCAUGUGCACAGGCCCCCACCUGUGCCUUUUCUUCACCUUCACUUAAGUUCCAGGGGGAAAGGAAGCCUCCUGCCCACUCUACAGCCUCAGAUGCUCAGGGACCUCUUUCCGCCAUUGCCUAUUCCCCCUCAGCGUGUCCCUGGCACGUCCUGAUUGGCAUGGUCCUGGAAACCUGACCAGGGCAACGCAGGGAUGAAGAACAGCAGACACACAAACGGAAAAGCUGGGCUGGGGCGGCCUGUGCUUGCUCUGAUGGAGGGCACUGUUACCCAACCCAGACACUUAGUCUUUAUUAUGUACAGCAGCACAGAGGGAUUAGGCAGUAUCAGUAGGAGGUCUCUGUGGGGGAGCCGUCUCAGGUUGCAGUCACCUACAGGGGGAAGUACAGCUGCUAGUUUCUGCACCCACUGGUCAGUAAUUUGUAAAUCCUGGUACUUGGACCAGAGGCAGAUUUUGUCACGCUUCUGAACCUCACUGGGGAAAGGCUUUGCCAUUCCUCUCAGUUUGAGACAUUAGGGUCCUUGACACGGCUGUGCCCAUGCCAAUAACACACAUUCAUUCAGGACUUCGUCUGCUACACACUCAUCCCUUGCUACAAAUGCAUGCCUGGGUCAACAACAACAACACAAAACAAACAAAAAAACCCAAAAAACCUAAAAAUCCCUUCUUUUAUUUUUGUCUUACAUGUCAUCUCCUCCCCCACCUUGGUUCAAACCUCUAACACAGACUCUUUCCCCCUUGGCUUUGGGGAGAAGACUCAGAGUCAGGCCAUUGUAAUCUUACACACUGAGCACAAUGGAGUUUUCACUAGAGACGAGUAACACCUGUAGAUAAAGUCUUCCCUCCAUAGGCCGAGGUACCAUUGCCUUGGCCAAUGUCACUCGUUAACACAGUGAUUUAUUCACAACUGUAGAGGAGGGGCGGUUAGAGACCCUUACCAGGCCAGAAAGGUCCUACCUGGGGGCUGCUGGCUUCUCCUGGGAGGUCAUCGCCCGUUUGGACUGGGCACUCAGGGCUUGGCAGAGCUGCCCACGGUCAGCUGUUCAUGGGCAGGACUGAAGCAACUCUCUCACUUGGCACCGACGUGGCUCUCCAUUACCGCCACAUUUGGCACAGAGCUCAGGUGACUCGCUCACUUGGUGCUACGUUUCCCCACUACUUCCAUCAUUGGCAUGUGCUUGAUGUCUCCCUUCCAGACCCACCAGAGCAGCCAGCCUUUGCUGCCAUCUUAUCUCAAGCUCAGUGUGCCGUGACGUUGCGAUGGCACAGGAGAACACGUCCAGUCCUUCAGAAGCAACACCAAAAUUCCAACUUUCCUGGAAAUUUCCCAAUACCCAAGGCCUGCCAAUGAUCUCAUCGUGGAGCCUCUCCCGGCCUCCCUGGAGGGCUGUGGCAGGAGCUGGAUGUACCCAACGAGUUGAUGCUGUUUCCAGACGGUUUUGUUAUUGCGACUGCAAGAGUGCAAGAUGAGACCCAGGGCUUGCAAGCCCCAACCCCGAAGGUGCACAGUUCCUGCUCCUGCCUGCACCCAUGGCAACGCUCCCGUUGCUCUCACCUACGCACAUGUGGUGAUCACACAACCAGCAAAGCUGCCACCCCAGUGAACAAGUGGUCGCCAAGCCGCUCAGUGGGGAGCGAGAAAGUUAAACCCAGUAGUAUCCCUUCAUCUACACCUCCAUCGCUUGCCCUGUUUUAUGCACAGGAGUUUCCGAUGUGUGUAAUUUUCCUCGUGGAAGAACUUUUAGCACUUUUUUCCCUCUUAAAAUUUAUUUAUUUCAUGUGAUGGCUGUAAGCUACACGUGGGUGCUGAACCCAGGUCCCCCUGCAAGAGUAGCUUGUGCUCCUAACCACCGAGUCAUCUCUCCAGCCUUUACUCUUAGUAUUUCCUGCAGGAUGAAUCUGUUUGCAAUGCAUUCCCUCAGUUUUUAUCUGGCAGAACCUUUCUCCUUUGCUGCUGAAAAUAAUUUUGUUUUAUGUACAAUUCGA